GGUGGGGUGCCGGAGUGGUCGAACGGGGCGGUCUCGAAAACCGUUGUGCCUUUUGGGCACCGUGGGUUCGAAUCCCACCCCCACCG
rnacentral:tRNA from 1 species